GCGUGGCUGGCUCAAUGGUAGAGCAUCGGGCUUCUAAUCCGAAGGUUGUGGGUUCGAGCCCCACGUCACGUG